rnacentral:snRNA from 1 species
GUCAGACAUACACUAAAACUGAAAUGAUAGAGAGAAAAUUAGCAUGGUCCUGCACAAGGAUGACAUGCAAAUUCAUGAAGUGUUCCAUAUUUUG